GAUGAACGCUGGCGGCGUGCUUAACACAUGCAAGUCGAACGGAAAGGCCCAAGCUUGCUUGGGUACUCGAGUGGCGAACGGGUGAGUAACACGUGGGUGAUCUGCCCUGCACUUCGGGAUAAGCCUGGGAAACUGGGUCUAAUACCGGAUAGGACGAUGGUUUGGAUGCCAUUGUGGAAAGUUUUUUCGGUGUGGGAUGAGCUCGCGGCCUAUCAGCUUGUUGGUUGGGUAAUGGCCUACCAAGGCGUCGACGGGUAGCCGGCCUGAGAGGGUGUACGGCCACAUUGGGACUGAGAUGCGGCCCAGACUCCUACGGGAGGCAGCAGUGGAGAAUAUUGCACACUGGGCGCAAGCCUGAUGCAGCGACGCCGCGUGGGGGAUGACGGCCUUCGGGUUGUAAACUCCUUUCGCUAGGGACGAAGCGUUUUUGUGACGGUACCUGGAGAAGAAGCACCGGCUAACUACGUG
rnacentral:rRNA from 1 species